UACCAGCACCCCGAGUGGUCGGGACGAUUAUUGGGCCUAAAGCAUCCGUAACCGGUUUUACAAGUCCUCCGUUAAAUCCAGCUGCUUAACAGAUGGGCUGCGGGGGAUACUAUAAGACUAGGAGGCAGGAGAGGCAAGCGGUACUCAGUGGGUAGGGGUAAAAUCCGUUGAUCCAUUGAAGACCACCAGUGGCGAAGGCGGCUUGCCAGAAUGCGCUCGACGGUGAGGGAUGAAAGCUGGGGGAGCAAACCGG
rnacentral:rRNA from 1 species